ACGGAAGGCAGCAGUGGGGAAUAUUGCACAAUGGGCGAAAGCCUGAUGCAGCGACGCCGCGUGAGCGAAGAAGUAUUUCGGUAUGUAAAGCUCUAUCAGCAGGGAAGAAUAAUGACGGUACCUGACUAAGAAGCACCGGCUAAAUACGUGCCAGCAGCCGCGGUAAUACGUAUGGUGCAAGCGUUAUCCGGAUUUACUGGGUGUAAAGGGGGCGCAGGCGGUACGGCAAGUCUGAUGUGAAAGCCCGGGGCUCAACCCCGGUACUGCAUUGGAAACUGUCGAACUAGAGUGUCGGAGGGGUAAGUGGAAUUCCUAGUGUAGCGGUGAAAUGCGUAGAUAUUAGGAGGAACACCAGUGGCGAAGGCGGCUUACUGGACGAUCACUGACGCUGAGGCUCGAAAGCGUGGGGAGCAAACAGGAUUAGAUACCCUGGUA
rnacentral:rRNA from 1 species